CCCGCCCGCAGCCUGCCGCCGGGGCGCUCCCGGGGCUGCGGGUCCAGGGCACCAAGAGCCCGGUGAUCCCAGGCGAUGGGGGGAGAUCGCCGCUGACCCGGAAGAAGCUGGGCUGGCUCCAAGGAGGGCGGGAUGGAUGACAAAGAAAGGGCCCCCACGUUCAAUCGGGCCUUCCCGGGAAGAGAAGCUCUUCGGAAACACACCGAUCCAGGAUGUCACUGAGGUGUGUCUCUACCCCCCACCCCCACCCCACCACCCGGGCGCCUACAGCCCUUGUGUGCACGUCGGCGUGCGGGGCGUUGUAUUCCUCGGAGCCUGUGUGCGCUUACGCUAUGUGCGUGCGCGGCUAUGCACAAUGAAUCACAGACGCCAGACAUGGAAACACCUGUUACUGUUGGUCACCAGGCUGGGCGGGCACGUGGUUCCUGUUUCCAUCACUAGACAGUUCCGCAUCCUUCCCUGGCGGGAGGACUCCAUUGCUUCCCUCUUUCACUCACUCCUGACCUCAGCUGUCUGCUGGACCCUGGCUAAGGCACCAAGAUAAGGCAUUGGGAUCUUUAAGGGUUGCUCUCUGCCUUCUAGAGUGGACUGAAGACCUGCUGUGGAUUGAAACCCAGCGGCUCCUCAAAAAGCCCCCAGGUCUGUCCUGUGGCAUCUGCAGUGCCUGGUGGGGACUACUGAGGCUUCUGGCCAGGUGGACUGAAUAGCCACCAGGUUCCUUGAUUCCCGAGCCUGCAACUGCUAUUGGACUACCACACCUUUUCAGGAUGGACUGAGGCUUUUACCAGCCGAGAAUGAAAAUGUCACAACUGUGGCCAAGAAACUAUUAGAUGACAUCAUUCCAAGUUAUGGUUUACCCGUUCUUUUGGGGUCAGACAACAGACCAACCUUCAUCUCACAGGUGCAAGAAUGUCUCUGGCCCCAACUGUGGGCCACCUAUGAAAAGAUACCUCCACCUACGCCCCACAGGUUCAUACCAGGAGACCUAGUACUUGUCAAAAGACGCUGGAUAGAGACUCUUGAACCGUGAUCCUGACCACUCCAACAGCCAUCAAGGUAGAGGGCAUCCCAGCCUGAAGACAUCACUCACACCUGAAGAGGAGCCAAGACUGUGGCGAGCUGUUGCCCACACACAAGGUCCACUCAAGCUGAGGAUCCAAAAACUUUUACCUUCCACACCUUCCGCCGUGCCCUAGAGACUAAAAGAUGAAAAACAUUAUCCACCUGACCCUUGUGAUAGCCCUGCUUGGGGUUCAGACCGCAUCAGACACUAACCCUCACCAAGCUGUUGCUACCAAAUGGAUACUUCGGGGCCCUAAGACUUCUCCACGAGACCUAGGGAGAGAAGUGCAGACUUUGAUGUUAACCGGUCCAGAGAAUAUUACUUUUCCCAUCUUCCGCCUUGAUCUUUGUGCCCUGGCCGGUUACAUAUGGAGACGUCCAAGUCCAAAGGAUGGAAAUUGCAGGUCCUAUCAAGACCUACAAAACACCGUGGCAACCUGCGGAGAUGACUGCCAGCAACAAAAACUUGCAACUGUGCACUUUUAUGUUUGCCCAGCGACAAAUGACUAUGGGACUUGUGGGGGAACGGAAAGUUUCUUUUGCUAUAAAUGGGGAUGUGAGACCAACGCCCCCUGGGUAAAGAAUAAUCAGGAUCUUAUCCAGAUAAGUAGAGCAAAAAACCAGACAUCACUGGGAAAGAGAAACCCCAUCUCCAUCUCAUUGACAGAAAAGGGACAAACUAGCAGAGGAUGGGAAGCUGGAAAAAUUUGGGGCCUAAGGUUAUAUGUGUCAGGAUGGGACAGGGGGCUCCUCUUUCAGAUCCAGAAACAGGCUGUCCUGGCAGGGACCCCCCUACAGCUAUAGGGCCAGCAGCUCCGGCUUUGUCCAUUUUAAAACCUGUGGCCCUGGUCCUAGUUUCAAUCACCUCCUCCCCCAUGGACCCAAUCACCCCCUGGUUAAUCACACUCCCACCCUGAUUUGUCCCAUUUUAUUUGGGUUACUUAAUUUCCCCUUUAAUUUCCUCAGUUCCACUACUGACUUCACCAGAGAAGACUGCUGGCUCUGCUUAGACCCCAGAACCCCAUACUGUACUGGCUGAGCUACCACAGGAAAUUUGUCAACUCCUUCAGAAAACCCACCGAGAUGCUCUUGGGGAAGGUCCCCGGUUCUUACCCUUCAAGUUGUAAUUGGACAAGGGCUAUGUGUGACAGGAACAGGGGAAAACUAGAUAGCGUCCCUCACCUUAAGCAUCUCUGUAAUACUAUCACCACAAAUGCUGGCACAUCCCCCUAGUGCCCCCUAAAGGAACCUGGUUGGCAUGCACCACGGGCUUAACCCCUUUCAUCCACCCACUGUUACUUCAGAAUUCCAGUAUGUGUGUUCUAGUCACACUGUUCCCUCCGGUUUAUUGCCUUCCCUUCAGCUUCUAUAUGGAGACAGUCCCAGACCACCACAGAGAAAAGCGAGAUUUUGGGGCCUCAGCAAUCAUUCUCAUGGUGUUGGUUGGGUCUGGCAUAGCUGCAGGAAUUGGCCCUGGUACAACAGCCUUAAUUAGGUCGAAUCAGACUUAUCAGGCUCUAAGUAACCUUAUAGACUCGGAUCUCGCUCAGCUAUAGAAGUCUGUCCAUCACCUAGAGCGGUCACUGGACUCACUAGCUGAAGUACUGCAAAAUAGAAGGGGAUUAGACUGCUCUUUCCACAGCAAGGAGGGCUUUGCCAGGCCCUGGGAGAACGAGGCUGUUUUUGCACCAACAGCUCAGGCAUCAUCAGAAACAGCCUAGCCAUGGUCCACAAGAGGUUAGAAGAAAGGGCUAAAAAGAUCAAAACUGCUAAGAAUCUUUGUUCAUUUGGUCCCCUUGGUUAAUGACUUUAAUUUCUGCCCUAACUGGUCCCCUUAUUCUUUUACUAUUUGCCCUCACCUGUGGACCUUGAAUCAUUAAUGCUUUGGUAAAACUUGUUAAGGAUCGCCUCGCUACAGUACAAUUACUGGUUCUGAAACAACAGCACCAGCCUUUGGAGCCUGCGGAUGCAUCUCAAGCAUUUGAGAUGAGGCCAUACUCAAGGGGGGAAUGAAGGGACCAAGCUGACGCCACGACAAACUAGGCCUAGGUUUCAGUUACCUGGAGAGGCAGGCAGGACUUCUGGAAAAGGCCCUGCCCUGACAUGUGGCCAUGAAGAUGGCUGCCCAGGGGCCAAGUCGGUUCCUGGAGACAUGUUCCUUUCCCACCUUUUGCAACCUUUUCGCGCCUUCUACCCCAACCAAUCAGAGAUGUACAACUGUAACUGCUGCUUGCCUAGCCAAUCAUGUUAAGGAUUACUUAACCCUCCGGGAAUUCCCCUAGUUGUGCUUCAAAGGGGCCUGCCUGCUCCUCUCCCAUGGCCAUUUUGUAUGAAUGGUUGACCCCCACAUGCUGGCUGAUUCUGCAGAAUAAACGCCCUUUGUUUUUACACAC